rnacentral:tRNA from 3 species
CGGAGUGUAGCACAGCCUGGUAGUGCACUGCGUUCGGGACGCAGGGGUCGGAGGUUCGAAUCCUCUCACUCCGACCA